CCUACGGGAGGCAGCAGUGGGGGAUAUUGCACAAUGGGGGAAACCCUGAUGCAGCAACGCCGCGUGAGUGAAGAAGUAUUUCGGGAUGUAAAGCUCUAUCAGCAGGGAAGAGAAUGACGGUACCUGACUAAGAAGCCCCGGUUAACUACGUGCCAGCAGCCGCGGUAAUACGUAGGGGGCGAGCGUUAUCCGGAUUUACUGGGUGGAAAGGGAGCGUUGACGGCUGGUCAAGUGUGAAGUGAAAGCGCGGGGGUUAACCCCGGAACGGCUGUGGAAACUGAGCAGCUAGAGUGUUGGAGAGGUAAGCGGAAUGCCUGGUGUAGCGGUGAAAUGCGUAGAUAUUAGGAAGAACACCAGUGGCGAAGGCGGCUUACUGGACAGUAACUGACGUUGAGGCUCGAAAGCGUGGGGAGCGAACAGGAUUAGAUACCCGGGUAGUC
rnacentral:rRNA from 1 species